rnacentral:rRNA from 1 species
AAAUUGAAGAGUUUGAUCAUGGCUCAGAUUGAACGCUGGCGGCAGGCCUAACACAUGCAAGUCGAACGGUAACAGGAAGCAGCUUGCUGCUUUGCUGACGAGUGGCGGACGGGUGAGUAAUGUCUGGGAAACUGCCUGAUGGAGGGGGAUAACUACUGGAAACGGUGGCUAAUACCGCAUAACGUCGCAAGACCAAAGAGGGGGACCUUCGGGCCUCUUGCCAUCAGAUGUGCCCAGAUGGGAUUAGCUUGUUGGUGAGGUAACGGCUCACCAAGGCGACGAUCCCUAGCUGGUCUGAGAGGAUGACCAGCCACACUGGAACUGAGACACGGUCCAGACUCCUACGGGAGGCAGCAGUGGGGAAUAUUGCACAAUGGGCGCAAGCCUGAUGCAGCCAUGCCGCG